AUUGAACGCUGGCGGCAUGCUUUACACAUGCAAGUCGAACGGUAACAGGCCUUCGGGUGCUGACGAGUGGCGAACGGGUGAGUAAUGCAUCGGAACGUACCCAGAGGUGGGGGAUAACGCAGCGAAAGCUGUGCUAAUACCGCAUGUGAUCUGAGGAUGAAAGCGGGGGACCGAGCAGCAAUGUUUGGCCUCGCGCCUUUGGAGCGGCCGAUGUCGGAUUAGCUAGUUGGUGGGGUAAAGGCCUACCAAGGCGACGAUCCGUAGCUGGUCUGAGAGGACGAGCGGCGACACGGGGACUGAGACACGGCCGAGACGCCGACGGGAGGCAGCAGUGGGGAAGGUUGGACAAGGGGCGGAAGCCUGAUCCAGCAAUGCCGCGUGCGGGAAGAAGGCCUGCGGGUUGUAAAACGCUUUUGGCAGGAACGAAACGGUGUCCGCUAAUACCGGGCGCUAAUGACGGUACCUGCAGAAUAAGAACCGGCUAACUACGUG
rnacentral:rRNA from 1 species